rnacentral:rRNA from 1 species
GAUGAACGCUGGCGGCGUGCCUAAUACAUGCAAGUCGAGCGAACAGAUGAGGAGCUUGCUCCUCUGACGUUAGCGGCGGACGGGUGAGUAACACGUGGAUAACCUACCUAUAAGACUGGGAUAACUUCGGGAAACCGGAGCUAAUACCGGAUAAUAUAUUGAACCGCGUGGUUCAAUAGUGAAAGACGGUUUUGCUGUCACUUAUAGAUGGAUCCGCGCCGCAUUAGCUAGUUGGUAAGGUAACGGCUUACCAAGGCAACGAUGCGUAGCCGACCUGAGAGGGUGAUCGGCCACACUGGAACUGAGACACGGUCCAGACUCCUACGGGAGGCAGCAAUAGGGAAUCUUCCGCAAUGGGCGAAAGCCCGACGGAGCAACGCCGCGUGAGUGAUGAAGGUCUUCGGAUCGUAAAACUCUGUUAUUAGGGAAGAACAAAUGUGUAAGUAACUAUGCACGUCUUGACGGUACCUAAUCAGAAAGCCACGGCUAUCUACGUG